rnacentral:rRNA from 1 species
CCCAGACUCCUACGGGAGGCAGCAGUGGGGGGUAUUGCACAAUGGAGGAAACUCUGAUGCAGCGACGCCGCGUGAGGGAAGACGGUCUUCGGAUUGUAAACCUCUGUCUUUGGGGAAGAAAAUGACGGUACCCAAAGAGGAAGCUCCGGCUAACUACGUGCCUGCAGCCGCGGUAAUACGUAGGGGGCAAGCGUUGUUCGGAAUGACUGGGCGUAAAGGGUGUGUAGGCGGUGUAGCAAGUUAGAAGUGAAAUACCUAGAGCUUAACUCAGGUGCUGCUUCUAAAACUGCUAUACUUGAGUGCAGUAGAGGAAAGUGGAAUUCCUAGUGUAGCGGUGAAAUGCGUAGAUAUUAGGAGGAACACCAGUGGCGAAGGCGGCUUGCUGGACGGUAACUGACGUUGAGGCUCGAAAGCGUGGGGAGCAAACAGGAUUAGAUACCCCUGUAA